CACAGAUCUUUUCAUCGCUGGAUGAUUGUGCUACUGACUUUACCUUCCCGGACCUGUGACCUCCCAGCUGUACGAACGUGUGUGAGUUGGAUGUGAGGACGUGAGCGAGCGUGAGAGACAGAGCCUUCCCCUAAUCCCUUGGAACCCUGGAUUUUCCCCGUCACUGUAUAUAUUAUCGCACUGAAUGACAGCAACAUCAAGUGUUUCACGCAGCCAGGCUGCGACUCCAUUAACAGGAGAGUGGCCUUGUGUGGGAGUAGAGUUGCCAGACGAAAGAAAUAUCGGGAGGAAAUUAUAUUUUUACUGUAUGUGUGCAUACACAUUGUGUAAAAUGAUUAGCAUAAAGAGAAAUGGAGCAAGAGGUGCUGUACAUGAAUCAAAGAAAUGUGAGUAAUUAAAUGUCCUGAA